rnacentral:rRNA from 1 species
AAAAUCCGGGUGGCAAUGGGAAGCCGUGAUGCGGAGCGAAAUAAAGUAGCGAAGCCCGUGAGCCAUGCGUCAAGAAAAGCCGCUAUUGUUUAUACCGUACCCGUACCGUAAACCGACACAGGUGGAUGAGGAGAGAAUCCUAAGGCCGGCGGAAGAAGCAUUGUCAAGGAACUCGGCAAAAUGGCCCCGUAACUUAGGGAUAAGGGGUGCCUGGGAAACCAGGCCGCAGAGAAUAGGCUCAAGCAACUGUUUAGCAAAAACACAGGUCUAUGCGAAACCGAAAGGUGAGGUAUAUGGGCUGACGCCUGCCCGGUGCUGGAAGGUUAAGAGGAGAGGUUAGCGGUAACGCGAAGCUUUGAAUUUAAGCCCCAGUAAACGGCGGCCGUAACAAUAACGGUCCUAAGGUAGCGAAAUUCCUUGUCGGGUAAGUUCCGACCCGCACGAAAGGCGUAAUGAUUUGAGCGCUGUCUCGACAAUGCAUCCGGUGAAAUUGAAGUACCAGUGAAGAUGCUGGUUACCUGCGCCAGGACGGAAAGACCCCAUGGAGCUUUACUCCAGUCUGGUACUGGGACUCGGUAUUGCAUGUACAGGAUAGGUGGGAGGCUAGGAGAUGGUAACGCCAGUUGCCAUGGAGCCGCUGUUGGGAUACCACCCUUGCAGUAUUGGGUUUCUAACCAGCCGCCGUGACCCGGCGGUGGGACAAUGCCAGACGGGGAGUUCGACUGGGGCGGUCGCCUCCGAAAGGGUAUCGGAGGCGCCCAAAGGUUCCCUCAGAAUGGACGGAAACCAUUCGAAGAGUCCAAAGGCAGAAGGGAGCUUGACUGCGACACCGACGGGUGGAGCAGGUACGAAAGUAGGGCUUAGUGAUCCGGUGGUAUUAAGUGGGAAUGCCAUCGCUCAACGGAUAAAAGCUACCCUGGGAUAACAGGCUUAUCACUCCCAAGAGUUCACAUCGACGGAGUGGUUUGGCACCUCGAUGUCGGCUCAUCGCAUCCUGGGGCUGUAGUAGGUCCCAAGGGUUGGGCUGUUCGCCCAUUAAAGCGGUACGCGAGCUGGGUUCAGAACGUCGUGAGACAGUUCGGUCCCUAUCCGGCGUGGGCGUAGGAUAUCUGAGAGGAGCUGUCCUUAGUACGAGAGGACCGGGAUGGACGGGCCGCUGGUGCAUCGGUUAGACUGCCAAGUCUACGGCCGAGUAGCCAAGCCCGGAAGGGAUAAACGCUGAAGGCAUCUAAGCGUGAAGCCCCCCUUAAGAUGAGAUAUCCCAUUCGAAAGAAGUAAACCCCCUUGAAGACGACGAGGUAGAUAGGGCAGAGGUGGAAGUGUGGCAAUACAUGGAGCUGACUGUUACUAAUCGGGUGAGGGCUUGACCUG